AUACGUAGGGGGCGAGCGUUGUCCGGAAUGAUUGGGCGUAAAGGGCGCGUAGGCGGCGCGGUAAGUCUGGAGUGAAAGUCCUGCUUUCAAGGUGGGAAUUGCUUUGGAUACUGCCGCGCUUGAGUGCAGGAGAGGUUAUCGGAAUUCCCGGUGUAGCGGUGAAAUGCGUAGAGAUCGGGAGGAACACCAGUGGCGAAGGCGGGUAACUGGACUGCAACUGACGCUGAGGCGCGAAAGUGUGGGGAGCAAACAGGAUUAGAUACCCUGGUAGCCCACACUGUAAACGAUGAAUGCUAGGUGUAGGGGGUAUCGACCCCUUCUGUGCCGCAGUCAACACAAUAAGCAUUCCGCCUGGGGAGUACGGCCGCAAGGUUGAAACUCAAAUGAAUUGGCGGGG
rnacentral:rRNA from 1 species